rnacentral:lncRNA from 1 species
UGGAGAAUUGGUUGCAUGGUUUCUCGUGCUGUGGGCAUCAGGGACUUCAGGUGAAGGUAUUUAGCUGUGGCUUUGUGCAAACCUCAGAACUGUGUCCUCCAAGGGCCUGGGGUAUUUGGCAGGCGCUGUCUCUUGCUGCCUUUGCUGCUGUAUGACAGGACAAAAUAGAAGCCACCUGGAGGCAACUUCCUCACCCAUCGACAAGCUCACCAGCCUUCAUGCCUGUCCUUUGGAGCUUCCCUGCAGACAGUGGCAGGCCACCUUCCUCGGGAACCACCUUCCUGGGCCUCUCCUUCAGUCAAGCUGCACAGCAGCAUUUUCUACACUUGCUCUGGCGGCAUCCUCACUGUCAUGCACUAGCGGUUGUUGGUGAGGUUCUUCAGGCUGCAGAUGGAGACAUGGGAAGGGCUGGACUGGCUCCCCUUCUCACUGUGGCUGGGCAGGGUAGGGGGUACCCCGGCUUCCAGGAUCUCUGGAAGCAAGGACAACCUCAAGGGCUGAUCCACAUCCUCUGGUGCCAUCUGCCGCCCAGAUGGGGACACAGCCCUCUUGCUGCACCGAGAAAAUGUGUGUCCUGGAUUCUCCGUGAGCUUUUCUGAAUUAAAACAAACAACAUAAAAUCAUGGGAGUGCCUUUAAUUACUGUUGAAUAAGUGAAUAAAAUAAGAUUAUAAUAUUCUACAGUA